rnacentral:rRNA from 1 species
GAUGGACGCUGGCGGCGUGCCUAAUACAUGCAAGUCGAGCGAACGGACGAGAAGCUUGCUUCUCUGAUGUUAGCGGCGGACGGGUGAGUAACACGUGGAUAACCUACCUAUAAGGCUGGGAUAACUUCGGGAAACCGGAGCUAAUACCGGAUAAUAUUUUGAACCGCAUGGUUCAAAAGUGAAAGACGGUCUUGCUGUCACUUAUAGAUGGAUCCGCGCUGCAUUAGCUAGUUGGUAAGGUAACGGCUUACCAAGGCAACGAUGCAUAGCCGACCUGAGAGGGUGAUCGGCCACACUGGAACUGAGACACGGUCCAGACUCCUACGGGAGGCAGCAGUAGGGAAUCUUCCGCAAUGGGCGAAAGCCUGACGGAGCAACGCCGCGUGAGUGAUGAAGGUCUUCGGAUCGUAAAACUCUGUUAUUAGGGAAGAACAUAUGUGUAAGUAACUGUGCACAUCUUGACGGUACCUAAUCAGAAAGCCACGGCUAACUACGUGCCAGCAGCCGCGGUAAUACGUAGGUGGCAAGCGUUAUCCGGAAUUAUUGGGCGUAAAGCGCGCGUAGGCGGUUUUUUAAGUCUGAUGUGAAAGCCCACGGCUCAACCGUGGAGGGUCAUUGGAAACUGGAAAACUUGAGUGCAGAAGAGGAAAGUGGAAUUCCAUGUGUAGCGGUGAAAUGCGCAGAGAUAUGGAGGAACACCAGUGGCGAAGGCGACUUUCUGGUCUGUAACUGACGCUGAUGUGCGAAAGCGUGGGGAUCAAACAGGAUUAGAUACCCUGGUAGUCCACGCCGUAAACGAUGAGUGCUAAGUGUUAGGGGGUUUCCGCCCCUUAGUGCUGCAGCUAACGCAUUAAGCACUCCGCCUGGGGAGUACGACCGCAAGGUUGAAACUCAAAGGAAUUGACGGGGACCCGCACAAGCGGUGGAGCAUGUGGUUUAAUUCGAAGCAACGCGAAGAACCUUACCAAAUCUUGACAUCCUUUGACAACUCUAGAGAUAGAGCCUUCCCCUUCGGGGGACAAAGUGACAGGUGGUGCAUGGUUGUCGUCAGCUCGUGUCGUGAGAUGUUGGGUUAAGUCCCGCAACGAGCGCAACCCUUAAGCUUAGUUGCCAUCAUUAAGUUGGGCACUCUAAGUUGACUGCCGGUGACAAACCGGAGGAAGGUGGGGAUGACGUCAAAUCAUCAUGCCCCUUAUGAUUUGGGCUACACACGUGCUACAAUGGGCAAUACAAAGGGCAGCGAAACCGCGAGGUCAAGCAAAUCCCAUAAAGUUGUUCUCAGUUCGGAUUGUAGUCUGCAACUCGACUACAUGAAGCUGGAAUCGCUAGUAAUCGUAGAUCAGCAUGCUACGGUGAAUACGUUCCCGGGUCU